rnacentral:lncRNA from 1 species
UAGUGAUUCUAUUGCCUAGCCAGAGCUAGAUUUCCUUCUUUUUCAAGUUUGUGUGUGGUUUUGAGAAUCAACUCAUAAACAACUUGUAUUUGGAAAAGUAUGAGGAGUUGCAAGUUAAAGUAAUUUCAACGAUCUUGAAUUGUCUUAUUAACUGAUCGGAUUUAGUCUUCUUCUGAUUGUUUGUUUAUUUGAAGGGAUUCUAAUUGAUUUUGGGAACUCAAUUGUUUUGCGAUUUUCUUACUGGUUAAAAUGUUUGGGAUUUACAGAUCGACAUCAACUCAAUACAACCAGUGGCGCCGGCUGACCCUCACGUGGUCGGGAUCGGACAAUUUGUAGUGGAAAAAUUUCACCACGGCAAGCUGCAUUUCAUCGCCGUGAUUGGCGGAUUCACUUGGAAUUGUGAAGGAGGCAAGUACUACGCACUUAUCAUUCAAAAUCAGGAUUAUGAGGGCGCCACAUUUAUCCAUAAAGCACUCGUUGUUGAGGCCAAAGGUGAAACGAAACUCCUCUGGCACAGGAAUUAAUCAAGCACUACUAUUGAUCAGCUGAGGAUAAAGGACUUUCUUUGGGUACUUAAAUUAUCUAGUGUCUAUGGUGUGGGUUUUCAGUUUAUGCAUGGAUGAUGUACUGCUGCCAUGCAGACAUCUUUCCACUGUUGUACUAGUAUGUUAAAUAAGGUGCACUUAUACCAACAAAAUGCACCAUUCCGUCUAUUUUUUUAAUUUGUAUCCUUGUAAUAACAUGCAAAAGAUGCACUUUUACGAACAAAAAUGUACCAUUAAAUGAAUAAAAACAAUCGUCUGUUUUUGAGUUUUAUCUGUAUAUUUUGUUUCUAUGUUACUUCCAAGCAAGUUCCGAUCCCUGAAUUUGUAUGUCAACUACGUACUAUGGUCUUGUUAGAUAUUUGGGUUGUCCUCCUAAAUCUGCUUUUAAUAUGAUAGAAUCUAUUUGUGGUAGAUUUUUUGUGGGGUUCCUCGGAGGAGCAAAGGAACACGCCAGUUUCUAACUCGGAAUGGUCCUAGCUAGUUCAUUGAUCCAGCUCCCAGAGUAGAGCUGUCUGGUCCUGCCAUCACCAAACUAAGAACAUGUUUCCUUGAAACGCCCAUAGAGAAUGCUUUCUAGGAUCAACCAAAAAUGAUAAUAAUAACAGUAAAUGUACCUCCAUUUAGCCAUAAAACACGAGGCUUGUUAGAAGGAUUUUCGGACUCCGCAAAAUAGUAGAAGAGAGCUUUACCAGUCUUCGGAUCAACAGUAACAUACCCUGAAUAUUGAUCACACUUUAACCCUUUUGGUUGCCCCGGCAACGCUACUACCUUGUCAGCCGCCUUCCAAACCCUCUUGAGGACCAAUAUAAACUGGCGUGUUCUCAUUUACGUAAUUGUCUACUUGAUGGGUGUCGAAACCACCAAAAAUAAAAUUCGUACUCCAAAAAGAUAUACUUUUGAGUACAAUGGUGAGUGGAGUCAAAAAAUAAUAAUGUAAAAUUAAAUAAAAAUAAUUCAAUAAAAGAUAAAUCACUAGUCAAAAAUCUAAUCACCACUUUAGUUCAAUUAACUAAUCAUUGAUGCAUGGAUAAAAUCAUUUAUUUAUAAAUAAAUUAGUUAUGGUUGUCAACAAAUUUUAAGAACCUGCCUACCUCUCCUUGCUACCCUCGAUAACCACAGCAAAUUUUGUGAUUAUUACUCUUGCCAAUUAAACAACCCUAGACAAACUUUUAGGAUUUAACAUAUUGACAAAAUUAAUUAUUACAAAAGCUACCCAUUUGAUAACAUUAAUUAUUACAAAAGUUGCCGGUUCUAACCAAUAAACACAUAAGUUUCCGUUUAUUUGGAUUCGAUUAUAUAUUUUCGUGACCUAUAUUUGAAAAUUUUUACUACAAUCAAAUUAUAUCAAAUUAUAUCACUUGCCAUAAAUACUAAAACCAUCAAAUAAUUAUAGAUUUGAUGAUUUAGAUGCAAUAUAGUGUUUCAAUAAUUAAAUAAUGGCCAAUUAUUUAAUCAUAUAAAAUAAUCAUAUUAGGAACUUGAGAAGUUCGGUAAAAUUUUCAUUCCCUCAAAGGUUCAAGGCAAAUAAAUUUGAUAGGGAUUUUGAGAAGUUUGCUAAAAUUUUUAAGCAAUUGCGUAUUAAUAUCCUUUUUGCCGAUGUUAUUUUCAGAUUCCUUCGUAUGAAAAAUUUCUCAAGGAGAUUAUGAUUCAAAAGAGAAAAUUGGAGGAUUGUGAAGCAAUAGCAUUAACGGAGAAGUGCAGUGCCAUCAUACAAAAUAAGCUACCACCAAAAUUGAAGGAUCCAGGGAAUUUCUUUAUAUCAUGCAUGUGAGGACCAGAAAAAAUUUUAUUUUUUUUAAGUUUUCUCCUAUUUUUGAAAAAAAAUUAAUUUAUGUUUCCUUUUAUUUUACUUUACUUGCUUAUUUGCUAGUCUUAAUUUGAUAGUGAUUUUAAAGGUUAAGUUAAGAUUAUUCUUUUGUUCCCUUUUUAUAAUCUUGAUGCAUGUUAAGUUUCAUAAAGUAUUAUGGUAGUUUAACCGACUAGUGAGAUGUACGCAUUAUAUUUGAUGGACGAGAAUGGAUGUGAUGCUAGAGGAAUUAUGUGAUUAGAAGUGUUAAAAAUGUAUUGGAAGAACACAAGAUAUAUUGGUUAUUAGAGAAAUACAAGAGAGACAAAAGGAUAGACAUGAAACCAAGCCUCGACAAGUGUCGUGCAUCCAUGAAGUCUUGACCAAGACAUGGACCAAGAGAAGUCUUAUGUUUAUCUUCCAAAAUUGACUCAAAAACCUUUACUUUCUUCUUCAUUGUGGCCGAACUUAAGGGAGAGAGAGAAGAGAGAAAACUUUCAAAAUCCUCUUGAUUUCCUUGCUUAAUUUGUGAAAAAAUCCAUGAUCAACCCUAAUUUACUCCAUAAAACCUUGAGUUAAUCUUGGAAUGAAACUUUUGGUGGAAUCAUUUGAGGAAGAAAGUUCUUAUCUUACCAUUUAUCUUGGGAUUUUGAGGUAUUUUACUAAGAACCUCUCUUUUUCCUUCUUAUUUUGCCAUUUAAGCAACAUAUAACUUGAUUAGGAUGGAUUUCAUAGAAGAAUUCAUGGUUUUGCUUAGUAGGUUGCAAUUUUCAGCUUUGGAAUAUAUUGUUCAGCCUUGUUAUGAAUGGUUUUGCUUUGAUAUGAGGUUGGAUAUGAAAUUUUAGCUUUGAAAUGAGGUUAUCUAGCUUCUAUAUUCGAAUUUCCAGCUUUAGUGUUAAUUUCCAACUUUGAUUUUGUAUUUUCCAGCCUUGAGUUGAGAGUUUCCAACUUUGAUGUGGACUUAUGAGUUUGGAUAUGAAGAUAUCUAACUUGAACAUGCACUUCUAGCUUUGUUAUAUGAUUUUUCUAGCUUUAGUGGUCAAUUUCCAGCUUUGAGAUGAAAAAUUUCAGCUUUGGUGUAAGUGAUUUGGAGCUUGAUAUAUAUGUUCAAAGUUGAUAGUUUAGUGGCCUAAAGUAUGCACUAUUUGUCCCCUAUAAUAUGUGGCCUUGAUUGAGGUUCAUUUACCAUGAAACUAGGAUUUGAAUGGAUGGUUAACUUGAAGAAAUUUGGGGACAUAUUGCUGGAUUUUCUUCUUGUUGGUCAUUUUGGGGACCUAAAUUUGGGGACAUAAAUUUAGGGCAUUUUUGUUUUUCUCUUGCAUAUGAUUUUACUCAAAACACUUGCUACAAUCUAUUUCUUUGCAUGUACGUUAGUUUUGAGCCAAGACAAGAGGUUUAAAUGAAAGGAAAUGAGUUUUAUCAAAUCAUUUUCUAGUUGGACAAUUUCCAACUUGGCACCUUCAAAGUCUUGACAUAAUUUCCUCAAACUUUUGACUAUAAUCGAUGUUUGUGUGCUCCAAAUGACUCUUGAAACAUGGAUUUAGUAUGCACACAAGGUUUUCCCCUUAAUUUGAACAAGAAAAUGUUAUAUUUUUUAUUAGUUAUAUGGGGAUAAAACUUGUGAACUAGUGUAUUUUCUAAAUGAAGUUUUGAACCCUCAAUUUCUUCAUUGUAUUUUGACUUUGUUUACUAGUCUUUUAAUAUAGUGUAUGACUACAGGACUCGAGAUAUUUCAAGAGGACAAACCGGGGCUGAAGUGAAAGAGUACGAUUGAUUGGUGAGUGUUCUUCGCAUGUUGUGCUUUAAAUGACUAUGUAGAAUGUUUGUUUGAAUGUCAAAUACUUUCUAAUGAUUGUUAAAUGGAUUUUCAAUGGGUGAGUGUGUACUUUAUCACACUUGACCCAAAGUGAAAGUGGAUUUUCAAUGAUUGAAUGUUAUUUGUGCAUGAAUGUAAGCCUUUGAUUGAAUUGGGCCCUUGCCCUUCAUUGCCAGUCGACUCGAGCCAGAAGCAGACUCGGUCGGGUGGCUGGUGACCCUAGGACAGUGUUUGGUAUACUCAAGUAUGAUCACGAAGUUGGAUGGAGUACUAGCCAGUGUAUGCAAUGCAAUGAUUGAAACGAAUGACUGAAUGAAAUGAACACUGAAGGAGUUUUCACUUUCAAAUAUUUUUAAAUAUUGGAGGGAUAAGGGAAAUGGAUGACGAAUGAAUGACUGAAUGAAUGGCUCAAGUGAGUAGUAUCCUUUCAAUGAUUGUUUCUUGAAUGACUGUUUAUUAUCGUGCAAAGUGUAUAAUUGUCAAUUGUAGCAUUUCUGUGCUUUAUCUACCUAACUGCUUGUUUGGGAAUCUCACUAGGCUUUUUGCUCAUUCUAUUAGUUUGUUUUCCUUAUAGGAGUGGAGGCCGGAGCAAGUAAGCGUAAACUAGUGUAUAUAAUCUUCAUUUACUAGUGUGUAUAAUUUUCAUGUACUAGUGUGUAGAUGAAAUGUAUUUGGGAUAUUUAGUAAUGUAAUCCUAUAUUUCACUUUUAGAUUGUAAAUUAAGUGAGAAUUAUUAGUUGAAUUGGGAACUUUUAUGUUAAUCUAGAGACGUGAAAGACUAUUUCAAGAAUGUUAGUGAGUGAGUCCUGACGAGAGUUGGACAGGCGGUCCGCCCAACUCUUGGAUUCGUCCUAGGGAGAGGUGGAGUCGUCACAAUGCACUAUUGAUAACAUUGAUUUUUUUAAAGUAUUAUGUAACCUUGGUGCUAGUGUAUCAGUAAUUCCUUUAAGAGUGGUUAGACAAUUAGAUUUACAUGAGUUUAAAAGUACUAAUAUUACUUUGCAGUUAACUGAUAGGUCUAUUAAAUAUCUAUUGAAAGUGUUGGAGAAUGUAUUAAUUAAAGUAUAAAAAGUUAUCGUCUUUAUGAAUUUUGAGGUAUUAGAUAUGAAAAAAAAAUGUCUAUAUCAAUUAUUCUUGGCAGACCAUUUUUAGCAGUUGUAGGUACUAUUAAUGAUGUUAAAAAUGACAAAUUUAAGUUUCAAAUAUGUAAAGAAGAGGUAGAAUUUAAUUUGAAUGAAAUAAAAAAAUACCAUUUUUUUACUGAUCAUUCUUGUUCUAUUGGCACAAUUGAUAAGUUAGUCAAAGAGUUGAGUCGAGUGAACUGUGACUUCGACCCUUUUGAGAUUUGUUUGAUGAGUUUAAAAAUGCAAGAGGGAGACUGUGAAGAAAUUAAAGAAUUGGCUAAAUAUUUAGAUUUUCAAACAGCUUAUAAACGAGAUAAUGUUUAUGAAAAUCUUGAUCAAAGAAAAGAGCCCCCACUAUCCUCGGAGAUUGAAGUUCCAAAAUUAGAACUCAAGUCGCUCCCAAAUCAUUUAUGGUAUGAGUUUUUUGGAAAAAAUAGCACUCUGCCGAUAAUUAUUAGUGCUCACUUAGAUGAAGAACAAUGUGCAAAAUUGUUAAGGAUUCUAAGAAAACACAAGAAGUCAGUUGGACAGACAAUUUCUGAUAUCAAAGAUACAAGUCAUUAUAUAUGCAUGCACCGCAUAUUAUUAGAAAAAAAUCACACACUAGUGGUAGAAAUGCAAAGAAGGCUCAAUCCAAAUAUGAAAGAGAUGUAAGAAAUAAAAUUCCCAAAUGGCUUGAUUCAGGUAUAAUCUUUUUUUUUCUCUAAUAGUAUUUGGAUAAGUUCAAAUCAUAUUGUCCCUAAAAAGGAUGGAAAAACUGUAGUCAUGGGUAAAAAUGAUAAAAUGAUUCCAUAUCAAUUCAUGAAUUGGUGGAGAGUGUGUAUAGAUUAUAGAAAAUUAAAUGUAGUUACUAGAAAAAAUCACUUUUCCUUACCCUUUUCUGACCAAUUAUUUGAGAGAAUAGCCGGUUAUGAAUUUUACUGUUUUUCUAAUGUUUUUUCGGAUUAUAACCAAUUAGCUAUAAUUUUGGAGGAUCAAGAGAAUACCACAUUUACUUACCCUUAUGGUACCUUUGCCUUAAGAAAGAUGCCAUUUGAUCUAUGUAAAAUCCCUGCUAUGUUUCAACGUUACAUGGUGGCCAUAGUUUCUAAUUACAUUAAGAAAAUUAUGGAGAUAUUUAUGGAUGAUUUUUUGGUAUUUGGUUCAUCUUUUGGUCAUUAUAUUCAUAAUUUAGAUUUGAUUUUACAAAGAUGUGAGGAGACAAAUCUUGUGCUAAAUUAGGAGAAAUGCUAUUUUAUGGUUCGAGAAAAAAUUGUCAGAAUCAGAUAAAGAUAAUAAUGACGAAACUGUAACCAAACCCGUGAUAGUAGAUCCCUACAAAACAUAUAAACUACCAAAUCUGCAAACUUUUAUUACAAUAAGAGCGCCUUUAGAAACCUUCAUAACGUUAUUUUUAGCUGUGUAUGUGCACCCAAGAACCUCCAGAGUGUCCAAAGAAAUGAGAUUCUUUUUCAAAUCAAGAACAUGUCUAAUAUUAGUAAGCGUUCUCAAAAUACCAUCAUGUAUUUUAAUUCAAACUGUACCCUUACCAACAACAUCACAAACGGCAUUAUUGCCCAUGAAAGCAAUUCCACCAUUACAAGAUUCAUAAGUGAAAAAUAAAUCCCCAUUGGGACAUAUGUGAUAAGAGCACCCCGAAUCUAAGAUUCAUUCAUUUUUAAACCUUGUCCUAUCAUCAGUCACAAAAUAUUUAUUUUAUUCUCAUCAACUGCAGCACAAGUUUCGAUAGUUUAGGUACUUUUUUUCACUAGGUUUCCCCUUUUACUUUAAUCUUUUCAAUUUAAAGUAAUUUGCAUUAAUGUGUCUCAUUUUGUGAUAAUAAUUGCACUCUAAAUUUUUGUGUCUGGGUUUAGAUCUAAAGUUAGAUCUACUACUGUCAAAUGUUUUUUAUUGGUUCUGCCCCUAACCACCAGACUUUCCCCCUGAUUCCCAAAUUUCUUCAGUAAUAUCCCUGUCUAUCUGCUCCUUUGAUUUUAAUGCAAAUUUAAUUUCACGAUACGAAAUUAUUUCUUUUCCAUAAAUCAUAGUAUUGUAAAAAUAUUUAAAAGUGGGAAAGGAAAUACAAAAGUAGCAGGGCCUGAUUUUCAACAUCAAUUUCAAAUCUAUAUUCUCCAAAUUCAUAAUAAUUGAAUCAAAUUUAUCAAGAUAUGAGAGUAUAGAUGUACUUUCAGUCAUGCAAAACAUAUACAAACUUUAUUUUAAAUAAAACCGAUUCUUAACUGUUUUCUUCAUGUACAAAGCCUUAAACUUGUCCCACGUGUCCUUUAUCGAAAUUUCAGUGGUUAUCUCCCGCAAAACCACAUCAAAGAGAUUUAAGAUAAUACUAGAUCUUGUCUUCUUAUCUAUUUUAGCAAAAUUUGUAUCUGUCACACUCUUUGACUUUUUAUCAAUUUCUUGUAUUUCUAAAUCAACUCCGCCUUGAACCAAAAUGCUCUCUAUCUUGAGCUGCCGUAUCCCAAAAUUGACAUUCCUGUCAAAUUUUUUGACAAUAAUCUUUGUUAUUAUCAUUGUUGCCACAAAAUUUAAACCUUCCGAAGAAGUUCUGAUAUUAGUUUGUUAGGUCUGGAUCCAGAAAAUUGACGAUAGGAUUUUUGGCAAUCCUAAAAGACAAAUAACAAAGAAAAAUAAAUAAAACAGGAAUACAUAAAAUUUAUAUGAUUCGGUCAAAUAGACCUACGUUCACGAGUGGAGCAAGAGCAAAAUUUUACUAUGAAUAACAGAAUACAAAAAUGUUUUAGACAAGCAUUUUUAAAUCCAAAACACCUAAUACUUGAAACACAAAAGAACCCAAAAAUAUUUUAUUAAACAAAAAGAUUUAAAUGAUUCAAAGGCCCAAAAUAACCCACUAAAACUCUCUUAAUUUGAUUCAUCUGAUUCCCUCAAACAUAUCAAACGUGUAAAACCUUAUCAUAUUUGACCCGUAAAACAUAAUAAACAUGCGUAUACGAAACUAUAAACGAUGUCCCAAAAGAAUUAUCCCCACACAACGAGAGCAAAAUUUCACCCAUUAUAAAACUACUUUCGACGGGGAUUUUUGGUCAGAAUGUAUCAUAGAAAUUUAUAAUUUACAAUACCAGGUCAAUUUUAUCUUAAAAGUUAGGAGGACUAUUGUCAUGCAAUUGACGUUGACUAACUGCCUGCCUUCCAGUCACAAACUGACAACGAUACUAAAUCACAAACUUGACAACAGAUACUUGUUUUUUUUUAUUAGAGAACGUGAGGAACGUGAGGAGCUAACCACGUCGAAAUCAAAAUAACACAAUACUAAAUCAAUUUCAUUGGGCGAAGCAACCUCUUAACUACUGUUCUUUCUGGGAAUCAAGAUUUUAAAAGUCAAGAUAUCCUCGAAUUCUUGGAUAAGAUCAACAGUAUUGGUCAUCACCCUUCCGUGUAUGCUUUUCUCAUCUAUGUUUCUAGUAACCUCAUUUUCGUUCCUCUGUUAUGACAAACUGUUCUGGAAAUAAUAAUCAUUUGACCACAUGAUUAAAAAUCACUAAUGCAUUGCCAUAUAAAGUAAUCUGUCACCAUCUUACCUUCAUUUGAUAAUUACAUUUUAUUUCCUAACCAUUCUAAUUUGUAAUUCAAUUUAACUAAUGAGUAUUCAAUGGACACUCGUUAAAAGAAAUUCGUAUUAGUUUUUUUAAAAAAAUAUAGUUUAUUUGUAAAAGUAUAGCAAUUCGAGAUGUGCAAUAUAAGUGUGUAUGCGUAUUUAUAUAGCAAUUUAGGUGUGGUCAUUAGCAAAAUUUUUCCUAAUUAAGCCUUUACUUAGUAACUGGCAUUUCUAGCCAAAUAUAGAUUGCGUGCCAUUAAAAAAUUCUUCAAAGGGCGGUGUGUCUUUUCACACUGACCUUAUCAAAGACGCGUCCCAUGCUGGUCGGCCGUGACUUUGGUGAUUAGGUCCGACAAGUAAUGAAUUUACUUAUGGGGUACGUCACCACAUUUUUAGGCCUAUAAAUACGAGGACUCUGGUUCGUUAUUUUGAUAUGCUAAACUCAGCAAACAGGUUUUCGACAGUCACAACCAGUUACAAGUAUCCAUUUUCGUUCAUAUUAAUUAGCUAGCUAGUUCUCCAAGGGAAAAAAUGGCUGAAGCCAAAUCUGCUACUGUCACUGAUCAGGUGAAUAGUGAUUCUAUUGCCUAGCCAGAGCUAGAUUUCCUUCUUUUUCAAGUUUGUGUGUGGUUUUGAGAAUCAACUCAUAAACAACUUGUAUUUGGAAAAGUAUGAGGAGUUGCAAGUUAAAGUAAUUUCAACGAUCUUGAAUUGUCUUAUUAACUGAUCGGAUUUAGUCUUCUUCUGAUUGUUUGUUUAUUUGAAGGGAUUCUAAUUGAUUUUGGGAACUCAAUUGUUUUGCGAUUUUCUUACUGGUUAAAAUGUUUGGGAUUUACAGAUCGACAUCAACUCAAUACAACCAGUGGCGCCGGCUGACCCUCACGUGGUCGGGAUCGGACAAUUUGUAGUGGAAAAAUUUCACCACGGCAAGCUGCAUUUCAUCGCCGUGAUUGGCGGAUUCACUUGGAAUUGUGAAGGAGGCAAGUACUACGCACUUAUCAUUCAAAAUCAGGAUUAUGAGGGCGCCACAUUUAUCCAUAAAGCACUCGUUGUUGAGGCCAAAGGUGAAACGAAACUCCUCUGGCACAGGAAUUAAUCAAGCACUACUAUUGAUCAGCUGAGGAUAAAGGACUUUCUUUGGGUACUUAAAUUAUCUAGUGUCUAUGGUGUGGGUUUUCAGUUUAUGCAUGGAUGAUGUACUGCUGCCAUGCAGACAUCUUUCCACUGUUGUACUAGUAUGUUAAAUAAGGUGCACUUAUACCAACAAAAUGCACCAUUCCGUCUAUUUUUU